rnacentral:rRNA from 1 species
AGAGUUUGAUCAUGGCUCAGGACGAACGCUGGCGGCGUGCUUAACACAUGCAAGUCGAACGGUGACCUCGGAGCUUGCUCCGGGCGAUCAGUGGCGAACGGGUGAGUAACACGUGAGUAACCUGCCCCAGACUCUGGGAUAACGUCGAGAAAUUGGCGCUAAUACCGGAUACGAGAAGAACAGGCAUCUGUAUCUUCUGGAAAGAAUUUUGGUCUGGGAUGGACUCGCGGCCUAUCAGCUAGUUGGUGAGGUAAUGGCUCACCAAGGCGACGACGGGUAGCCGGCCUGAGAGGGCGACCGGCCACACUGGAACUGAGACACGGUCCAGACUCCUACGGGAGGCAGCAGUGGGGAAUAUUGCACAAUGGGCGAAAGCCUGAUGCAGCGACGCCGCGUGGGGGAUGAAGGCCUUCGGGUUGUAAACCCCUUUCAGUAGGGAAGAAGCGAAAGUGACGGUACCUACAGAAGAAGCGCCGGCUAACUACGUGCCAGCAGCCGCGGUAAUACGUAGGGCGCAAGCGUUGUCCGGAAUUAUUGGGCGUAAAGAGCUCGUAGGCGGUUUGUCGCGUCUGCUGUGAAAGUCCGAGGCUCAACCUCGGAUCUGCAGUGGGUACGGGCAGACUAGAGUAUGGUAGGGGAGACUGGAAUUCCUGGUGUAGCGGUGGAAUGCGCAGAUAUCAGGAGGAACACCAAUGGCGAAGGCAGGUCUCUGGGCCACAACUGACGCUGAGGAGCGAAAGCAUAGGGAGCGAACAGGAUUAGAUACCCUGGUAGUCCAUGCCGUAAANCGGUGGGCACUAGAUGUGGGGCUCUUUCCAUGAGUUCCGCGUCGCAGGCUAACGCAUUAAGUGCCCCGCCUGGA